rnacentral:rRNA from 1 species
AGCGAACGCUGGCGGCAGGCCUAACACAUGCAAGUCGAACGAACCUUUCGGGGUUAGUGGCGGACGGGUGAGUAACACGUGGGAACGUGCCUUUAGGUUCGGAAUCACUCAGGGAAACUUGUGCUAAUACCGAAUGUGCCCUUAGGGGGAAAGAUUACUCGCCUUUAGAGCGGCCCGCGUCUGAUUAGCUAGUUGGUUGAGGUAAUGGCUCACCAAGGCGACGAUCAGUAGCUGGUCUGAGAGGAUGAUCAGCCACAUUGGGACUGAGACACGGCCCAAACUCCUACGGGAGGCAGCAGUGGGGAAUCUUGCGCAAUGGGCGAAAGCCUGACGCAGCCAUGCCGCGUGAAUGAUGAAGGUCUUAGGAUUGUAAAAUUCUUUCACCGGGGACGAUAAUGACGGUACCCGGAGAAGAAGCCCCGGCUAACUUCGUG